rnacentral:sRNA from 3 species
AUAUCUCUCCGUACGGGAAGGAUGAGAAGCUUCGACUAAGGUUCGAUUCGAGCGCAGCGAGAACGCGUUGCCGCAGGCAACGACC